rnacentral:rRNA from 1 species
CGGGACACGUGGUAUCCUGUCUGAAUAUGGGGGGACCAUCCUCCAAGGCUAAAUACUCCUGACUGACCGAUAGUGAACCAGUACCGUGAGGGAAAGGCGAAAAGAACCCCGGCGAGGGGAGUGAAAAAGAACCUGAAACCGUGUACGUACAAGCAGUGGGAGCACGCUUAGGCGUGUGACUGCGUACCUUUUGUAUAAUGGGUCAGCGACUUAUAUUCUGUAGCAAGGUUAACCGAAUAGGGGAGCCGAAGGGAAACCGAGUCUUAACUGGGCGUUAAGUUGCAGGGUAUAGACCCGAAACCCGGUGAUCUAGCCAUGGGCAGGUUGAAGGUUGGGUAACACUAACUGGAGGACCGAACCGACUAAUGUUGAAAAAUUAGCGGAUGACUUGUGGCUGGGGGUGAAAGGCCAAUCAAACCGGGAGAUAGCUGGUUCUCCCCGAAAGCUAUUUAGGUAGCGCCUCGUGAAUUCAUCUCCGGGGGUAGAGCACUGUUUCGGCAAGGGGGUCAUCCCGACUUACCAACCCGAUGCAAACUGCGAAUACCGGAGAAUGUUAUCACGGGAGACACACGGCGGGUGCUAACGUCCGUCGUGAAGAGGGAAACAACCCAGACCGCCAGCUAAGGUCCCAAAGUCAUGGUUAAGUGGGAAACGAUGUGGGAAGGCCCAGACAGCCAGGAUGUUGGCUUAGAAGCAGCCAUCAUUUAAAGAAAGCGUAAUAGCUCACUGGUCGAGUCGGCCUGCGCGGAAGAUGUAACGGGGCUAAACCAUGCACCGAAGCUGCGGCAGCGACGCUGAUGCGUUGUUGGGUAGGGGAGCGUUCUGUAAGCCUGUGAAGGUGUGCUGUGAGGCAUGCUGGAGGUAUCAGAAGUGCGAAUGCUGACAUAAGUAACGAUAAAGCGGGUGAAAAGCCCGCUCGCCGGAAGACCAAGGGUUCCUGUCCAACGUUAAUCGGGGCAGGGUGAGUCGACCCCUAAGGCGAGGCCGAAAGGCGUAGUCGAUGGGAAACAGGUUAAUAUUCCUGUACUUGGUGUUACUGCGAAGGGGGGACGGAGAAGGCUAUGUUGGCCGGGCGACGGUUGUCCCGGUUUAAGCGUGUAGGCUGGUUUUCCAGGCAAAUCCGGAAAAUCAAGGCUGAGGCGUGAUGACGAGGCACUACGGUGCUGAAGCAACAAAUGCCCUGCUUCCAGGAAAAGCCUCUAAGCAUCAGGUAACAUCAAAUCGUACCCCAAACCGACACAGGUGGUCAGGUAGAGAAUACCAAGGCGCUUGAGAGAACUCGGGUGAAGGAACUAGGCAAAAUGGUGCCGUAACUUCGGGAGAAGGCACGCUGAUAUGUAGGUGAAGCGACUUGCUCGUGGAGCUGAAAUCAGUCGAAGAUACCAGCUGGCUGCAACUGUUUAUUAAAAACACAGCACUGUGCAAACACGAAAGUGGACGUAUACGGUGUGACGCCUGCCCGGUGCCGGAAGGUUAAUUGAUGGGGUCAGCGCAAGCGAAGCUCUUGAUCGAAGCCCCGGUAAACGGCGGCCGUAACUAUAACGGUCCUAAGGUAGCGAAAUUCCUUGUCGGGUAAGUUCCGACCUGCACGAAUGGCGUAAUGAUGGCCAGGCUGUCUCCACCCGAGACUCAGUGAAAUUGAACUCGCUGUGAAGAUGCAGUGUACCCGCGGCAAGACGGAAAGACCCCGUGAACCUUUACUAUAGCUUGACACUGAACAUUGAGCCUUGAUGUGUAGGAUAGGUGGGAGGCUUUGAAGUGUGGACGCCAGUCUGCAUGGAGCCGGCCUUGAAAUACCACCCUUUAAUGUUUGAUGUUCUAACGUUGACCCGUGAUCCGGGUUGCGGACAGUGUCUGGUGGGUAGUUUGACUGGGGCGGUCUCCUCCUAAAGAGUAACGGAGGAGCACGAAGGUUGGCUAAUCCUGGUCGGACAUCAGGAGGUUAGUGCAAUGGCAUAAGCCAGCUUGACUGCGAGCGUGACGGCGCGAGCAGGUGCGAAAGCAGGUCAUAGUGAUCCGGUGGUUCUGAAUGGAAGGGCCAUCGCUCAACGGAUAAAAGGUACUCCGGGGAUAACAGGCUGAUACCGCCCAAGAGUUCAUAUCGACGGCGGUGUUUGGCACCUCGAUGUCGGCUCAUCACAUCCUGGGGCUGAAGUAGGUCCCAAGGGUAUGGCUGUUCGCCAUUUAAAGUGGUACGCGAGCUGGGUUUAGAACGUCGUGAGACAGUUCGGUCCCUAUCUGCCGUGGGCGCUGGAGAACUGAGGGGGGCUGCUCCUAGUACGAGAGGACCGGAGUGGACGCAUCACUGGUGUUCGGGUUGUCAUGCCAAUGGCACUGCCCGGUAGCUAAAUGCGGAAGAGAUAAGUGCUGAAAGCAUCUAAGCACGAAACUUGCCCCGAGAUGAGUUCUCCCUGACUCCUUGAGAGUCCUGAAGGAACGUUGAAGACGACGACGUUGAUAGGCCGGGUGUGUAAGCGCAGCGAUGCGUUGAGCUAACCGGUACUAAUGAACCGUGAGGCUUAACCUU